UACGGAGGAUGCAAGCGUUAUCCGGAAUGAUUGGGCGUAAAGCGUCCGCAGGUGGCUGUGUAAGUCUGCUGUCAAAGAGCGAAGCUCAACUUCGUAAAGGCAGUGGAAACUACACGGCUAGAGUGCGUUCGGGGCAGAGGGAAUUCCUGGUGUAGCGGUGAAAUGCGUAGAGAUCAGGAAGAACACCGGUGGCGAAGGCGCUCUGCUAGGCCGUAACUGACACUGAGGGACGAAAGCUAGGGGAGCGAACGGG
rnacentral:rRNA from 1 species